UCUGCCAGUAGUCAUAUGCUUCGUUCAAGGAUUAAGCCAUGCAUGUCUCAGAGCAAAUGGAACAACAACAGGUCUGUGAAUGGCUCCUUACAUCAGCAGUAAUCCAAGUGCGGAAGUGCGGGCGGCAUGAGAGCCAAGUGCCCAAUUGGACAUCCUCCAAAACCUAGUGGCUAAUACACGGUAGCAACAGUCUGCCACAGUGAAGGUUGACCGUGCCGCAAGGCUUCGGUUGACCGUGGUGGAUUGCAGCCAGCCUUGAUCAAGACCUGUGACCGAAAGGUCAGCGGGCAUGUGUGUUGACUCCAGCUGGUCCCUCGAGGACGCGGCACUGGCAAAGCAGAGAUGAGUGAUCAUUGAUUGCCUCCGCACAGGAACUUCUGACCUAUCAGCUAGACUGUGGUGUAGUGGACCACAGUGGCGAUGACGGGUGACGGAGAAUUUGGGUUCGACUCCGGAGAGGCAGCCUGAGAAACGGCUACCACUGCCAAGGCGGGCAGCAGGCGCGCAAAUUGCCCACUAUCAAAGCCCAGAUGAGGCAGCGACGAACUGCAGCAACCAAGCCGGUAUCACUAUCGGCUGGGAUUGCCAUGGAUGCUAUCCAAACACAGUGAUGAGUAGCCACUGGAGGGCAAGUCUGGUGCCAGCAGCUGCGGUAAUUCCAGCUCCAAAGGCGUAUACUAACAUUGCUGCGGUUAAAACACUUGUAGUCUGCCACUGGGAAGCCGGUCUGGCUGGGUCCAGCUCUGGUGAGGUGGUCUGUGUCUCCGGACAUGGGCAGCCAAGCCAACUGGAACACAACCCCAGUCAGUAUGAUCCGGAUCCCGCAACCAAAGAUGUUGUGAUCUGCUCCUGCCUCAAAGUCCUCUUCACUGAGGGCUCAAAGCGGUAGUGCACCGCCAGCGUGCGUGGACAAGUCAGUGGGACCACACCUUGUGUGUGGGAAGAGCCACAUGUCUGCCACCGGAGCCAAGCAUCGUUGACACCCUGGAAAACUCAGUGUGCUCAAAGCAUCCAGUACGGCUGGAUGACUGUCCAUGGAAUGUCAAAGCAUCGACCAAGUGUGGCUGAAGAGUUGUACAGGCCUUGGAGCCCACUGAGGACAACAUGGGACCACACCCUUGUCUGGGACUGGACUGGGCUGCUCCGGUGGCUUGGGACUGGACUGGGCUUGGUGUUGUGAGUCACCUACCGAAGCUGAUGGGACUGCUCAGGGUGGAAGGUACUGGAGCGCCAGAGGUGAAAUUCUUAGACCGCUGCAAGACCAACUGCAGCGAAGGCGUUCUGCAGGAGCAUGUUCGUCGAUCAAGAAUGAGAGCGCGGGGAGCGAAGAUGAUUAGACACCAUCGUAGUCCGCUGCUGUAAACCAUGCCAGCUAGGUGCCGGAGAGGCAAAGCUAUGUGUGACCUCCUCGGUGCCAUCCCUCCACAACGAGAAAUCCAAGCCUGUGGGUUCCGGGGGGAGUACGGCUGCAAGGCUGAAACUUAAAGGAAUUGACGGAAUGGCACCACAAGGCGUGGAGUAUGCGGCUUAAUUUGACUCAACACGGGGAAUGUUACCAGGUCAGGACAUGGAAAGGAUGGACAGACGGCUAGCUCUUGCUUGAUCCCAUGGAUGGUGGUGCAUGGCCGCUCCUGAUUGGUGGAGUGAUUUGUCUGGUUGAUUCCGAUAACGAGUGAGAUCUCUGCCUUCCACUAGUGCCCGACUCGCAUUCGGUAGGAUGGAUCACUGGAUGUUGCUGGUGGCUUCGGUUGCUGGCACGCCUUUGGUUUGUCCGAGAGUCUGGGUUGCUUCUCUGAGGUGCUGUGUGCACUCAUCAAGCGCACGCAUGCUAGAGCCAACAGCAGGUCUGUGAUGCUCCUAGAUGUCCUGGGCCGCACGCGCACUACAUUGGCACAGCCAAGGUGUCUGAAGCUCAAGUCUGAGCACCUGCUCUGAAGAGAGUGGGAAACCAUUCAAGUCUGAAGCCGUACUGGGGAUAGAUGAUUGCAACUGUCCGCCUUGAACGAGGAAUGCCUAGUAGGCGUGAGUCAUCAGCUCACACCGAUUGUGUCCCUGCCAUUUGUACACACCGCCCGUCGUUGCUACCGACGGCUGCUGGAUAGAGCCGCCAGGAGAUCACACAGCACUCCGUGCUCAAGUCAAAAUCCGGCAAUGUCCAGCUGCUGAAGGAAGCAAAAGUC
rnacentral:rRNA from 1 species